rnacentral:tRNA from 1 species
CUGCCUGUAGCUCAGUUGGAAAGAGCAAAAGAUUUCUAAUCUUUAGGUCGGGAGUUCGAAUCUCUCCGGGCAGGCCA